CGGGCCGCGACGGCGGCGGACGGAGGGGGAGGGCGGCGAGCCUUCGGAGCCAGCCUCGAGGGCGCAGGACCCACCGCGCCCGCCUCGCCGCGGCGCCCGAGUGGGGGCGUCCACGGCUCCGGGUCCCUGCGGGCCUGGGGCAGGGGCGCAGUCCGGACCUUCCCGGACUGCCUGGCUGCUGCAGCCAGCAGGCUCCUCUCUCCUUCCCUCUUCCUCUCUGCACUGCCCGGGCUAAAGGCGGCCAAGCUGAGGCUCCGAGAGAAAAGGGAAAAUUGCAGCCCCUGCCUGCAACCAGGCUGACAGCAUAAUUAGGAAUCAAGAAUCAACACUGGGUUAUUUCUUCAGAUUAAACCUAGAAAGCCCCCUUGGAGGCUGAAGUGGGGGAGCAUGCCAUGCAUAAACUCGAACAUGAAAAAUGGUCUUCCUUCAUCAGAGAGCUCUCCCUCUUCAACUAAACCAACAGAGUGAUGAAAAGAAGGGAAUCCUUCCUGACCGAAAUAAUCCAGACAAUCAAAUCGGCCUUUUUUUUUUUUUUUUUUUUUUUUUUUUUUA